rnacentral:rRNA from 1 species
CACCGGCGAAGAACCGCCCAAACCAAUCCAGUAAUGCUAAGUGUCUGAAUCCCAUUGACGGAUCCCUUCGGGGUGAAGCGUUGGGCCUAGCACACGACCCUAUGCUGAGGCGGUUAGCGUAUUAACAGGUGUGACGCAGGAAGGUAGCCCAAGCCAGGCGAUGGUAGUCCUGGUGCAAGUGCGUAGGCCGAGUGAUAGGCAAAUCCGUCACUCAUACAGGCUGAGACACGAUGCGGAUAAAAAGUGGGUGAUCCUAUGCUGCCAAGAAAAGCAUCGACGCGAGGUUCAAGCCGCCCGUACCCCAAACCGACUCAGGUGGUCAGGUAGAGAAUACCAAGGAGAUCGAGAGAAUCGUGGUUAAGGAACUCGGCAAAAUGCCCCCGUAACUUCGGGAGAAGGGGGGCCUUCGGCGUAUAGGGAUUUACUCCCAAAAGCGUUUGGAGGCCGCAGAGACUAGUGGGUAGCGACUGUUUACUAAAAACACAGGUCCGUGCCAAGUCGCAAGACGAUGUAUACGGACUGACGCCUGCCCGGUGCUGGAAGGUUAAGAGGACCGGUUAGCCGCAAGGCGAAGCUGAGAAUUUAAGCCCCAGUAAACGGCGGUGGUAACUAUAACCAUCCUAAGGUAGCGAAAUUCCUUGUCGGGUAAGUUCCGACCUGCACGAAUGGCGUAACGACUUCCCAACUGUCUCAACCGCGAACUCGGCGAAAUUGCAUUACGAGUAAAGAUGCUCGUUACGCGCAGCAGGACGGAAAGACCCCUGACCUUUACUAUAGCUUUGUAUAGGUGUUCGGUGUGGCUUGUGUAGGAUAGGUGGGAGACUUUGAAGCAUGGACGCCAGUUCAUGUGGAGUCAUUGUUGAAAUACCACUCUGGUCACUCUGGAUAUCUAACUUCGAACCGUAAUCCGGUUCAGGGACAGUGCAUGGUGGGUAGUUUAACUGGGGCGGUUGCCUCCCAAAAAGUAACGGAGGCGCCCAAAGGUUCCCUCAACCUGGUUGGCAAUCAGGUGGCGAGUGUAAGUGCACAAGGGAGCUUGACUGUGAGACUGACAGGUCGAGCAGGGACGAAAGUCGGGACUAGUGAUCCGGCAGUGGCUUGUGGAAGCGCUGUCGCUCAACGGAUAAAAGGUACCUCGGGGAUAACAGGCUGAUCUUGCCCAAGAGUCCAUAUCGACGGCAUGGUUUGGCACCUCGAUGUCGGCUCGUCGCAUCCUGGGGCUGGAGUAGGUCCCAAGGGUUGGGCUGUUCGCCCAUUAAAGCGGUACGCGAGCUGGGUUUAGAACGUCGUGAGACAGUUCGGUCCCUAUCCGCUGCGCGCGCAGGAAAUUUGAGAGGAUCUGACCCUAGUACGAGAGGACCGGGUUGGACGAACCUCUGGUGUGUCAGUUGUUCCGCCAGGAGCACCGCUGAUUAGCUACGUUCGGGAUGGAUAACCGCUGAAAGCAUCUAAGCGGGAAGCCGGCCUCAAGAUGAGAUUUCCAUGCCUUCGGGCGAGAGGCUCCCAGCCAGAUUACUGGGUUGAUAGGCGAGAUGUGGAAGCGUGGCAAUACGUGUAGCUGACUCGUACUAAUAAGCCGAUGACUU